UCUGGCCCGAUAUGCUAUUACCCCAGAAGCGUAUCGGAGGCGCUUCAGGGAAUUGAAAAAGGCGGAUAAAGAUUUGCAUGCAGAAUGGGCUUGCCGAUUACAACGGGCAGCCCUCGGAUGGGUGCAAGCGAACCAGGCACGGUCCAUGGAGGACCUAUUACAAAUGCUGCUACUAGAACAGUUUUAUGACGGGAUACCCGCAGACCUGCAGGAGUGGGUGAGAGACCGUAACCCCACUUCUAUUACAGACGCAGCUAAAAAGAUUACAUGGAUGCGCGAAGGCAACAAAAGCCAGUAGUAAUCAAAGC